rnacentral:rRNA from 1 species
GGUGAGGUAAAGGCUCACCAAGGCGACGAUCUGUAGCGGGUCUGAGAGGAUGAUCCGCCACACUGGAACUGAGACACGGUCCAGACUCCUACGGGAGGCAGCAGUGGGGAAUUUUGGACAAUGGGGGCAACCCUGAUCCAGCCAUGCCGCGUGAGUGAAGAAGGCCUUCGGGUUGUAAAGCUCUUUCGGCCGGGAAGAAAUCGCAUGGGUUAAUACCCUGUGCGGAUGACGGUACCGGCAUAAGAAGCACCGGCUAACUACGUGCCAGCAGCCGCGGUAAUACGUAGGGUGCGAGCGUUAAUCGGAAUUACUGGGCGUAAAGCGUGCGCAGGCGGUUUUUUAAGACAGGCGUGAAAUCCCCGGGCUCAACCUGGGAACUGCGCUUGUGACUGGAAGGCUAGAGUAUGGCAGAGGGGGGUGGAAUUCCACGUGUAGCAGUGAAAUGCGUAGAGAUGUGGAGGAACACCAAUGGCGAAGGCAGCCCCCUGGGCCAAUACUGACGCUCAUGCACGAAAGCGUGGGUAGCAAACAGGAUUAGAUACCCUGGUAGUCCACGCCCUAAACGAUGUCAACUAGGUGUUGGGUGGGUAAAACCAUUUAGUACCGGAGCUAACGCGUGAAGUUGACCGCCUGGGGAGUACGGCCGCAAGGUUAAAACUCAAAGGAAUUGACGGGGACCCGCACAAGCGGUGGAUGAUGUGGAUUAAUUCGAUGCAACGCGAAAAACCUACCUACCCUUGACAUGUCCAGGAGCCUGAAGAGAUUUGGGUGUGCCCGAAAGGGAACUGGAACACAGGUGCUGCAUGGCUGUCGUCAGCUCGUGUCGUGAGAUGUUGGGUUAAGUCCCGCAACGAGCGCAACCCUUGUCGUUAAUUGCCAUCAUUCAGUUGGGCACUUUAACGAGACUGCCGGUGACAAACCGGAGGAAGGUGGGGAUGACGUCAAGUCCUCAUGGCCCUUAUGGGUAGGGCUUCACACGUCAUACAAUGGUCGGUACAAAGGGUUGCCAAGCCGCGAGGUGGAGCCAAUCCCAGAAAGCCGAUCGUAGUCCGGAUCGCAGGCUGCAACUCGCCUGCGUGAAGUCGGAAUCGCUAGUAAUCGUGGAUCAGCAUGUCACGGUGAAUACGUUCCCGGGUCUUGUACACACCGCCCGUCACACCAUGGGAGCGGGUUCCGCCAGAAGUAGGUAGCCUAACCGCAAGGAGGGCGCCUACCACGGCGGGGUUCGUGACUGGGGUGAAGUCGUAACAAGGUA